CAUACUUGUACAUUUUUAUUGGACUUCGCUUUCAUAUUUUCCUCCAAUUUGAAAUCUUAAUGUACAUUCAGAACUGUAUGAAUCUGCACUGUUCUGAAUAAAUUGUCAAUGUCACUGUGUUGCCUACCUUAUUGCAGGUAAAUGUAUCUGAAUUCACUCACGCCACCUAGUGUAAUGGGCCAUAAUUGUACAGGCAUCCCCCCACUCCCCAUUCAAAAUACUUAAAAGCCUGGUCAACUUUUGACAUUGUUCUCUAUAUUGCCAGAGGACUCAAAAACAAUUUAUUUUCCAAGCCCUUUCAAAAAGAGAGGUGAAGCAGCAUUACUU